rnacentral:lncRNA from 1 species
UCUGCCUAUAGAGGCCUGGGGUCCCUUUGGCAGCACUUUUCUCAAGAAAGUAGAGUCGUGGACAACCAACUGCACAGGUUGGGAGGCUUUGAAGAACAAGCUGCCAUGAAUCCUGCAGCUACAAGGAAAUGAACUCUAUUAACUUGAGUGAGCUUAAAACUAGAUCCUUCCCCAGUCAAGCCUCCAGGUGAGAAUUCAAUCCUGGCUGGCACCUGGAUUGCAGCUUACAGAAGACCCAGCUAAGGCCAUGUCUGGACUUUAAAUCCACAGGAACUGCAAGAUGGUAUCAGAAGUGGGACCUGCAGUGGGGCAUCUAGCAACCCCCAGGAGCAUUGAGUGACCAGGCUUGGGACCCACCGGGCGCAGGGUGUCCAUUGUUCUCUCGAAGCAACUGAGAAUUGUGGAUAUUCUUCAUUAUUCCAUCAUCAUCUCAAACCUCUUGGGUAUAGUGUUUGACUACUACUGUGACCAUAAAUUCCAAUAAAACCUAGGAAAAAUGAAACCACUACAUUAACUGAAAGGAGAGAAAGGAACAAGCUAGUGAGUCAGGAGAAAGAAUUAUUGCUUAUUAAGUUCAUUUACUUCAAUUGUGAGGAAUAGAAAGUUAAUGAGAUUGAAUAGCUAACCAACCAAGGUCAGCAUGGUGCAAAGAAGUGGUCUACAUUUAACAUUUUGCAGGAAGGAUUUGACAGCUUCUUUUGGGCAUAUCAGAAUCGCCAGCAUCACUACUCUUGCACUGUGCGGCCAUUAUUAAGUGAAAUAAGGAUUACUUGAACACAAGCACUGCAAUGCCGCUACAGUCAAUGUGAUAACCCAGCUGGUGACUAAGUGACCAAGGACGGGGAGUAUCUACAGCGGGGAGACUCUGGAAAAAGGGAGGAUUCACAUCCAGUGCCACUGGGGCAGGGCAGAAUGAGAGUUCAUCAUGCUACAAAGAAUGGCACAGAAUAUACGACUUGUGAGUGGAUUAUCUCUGGAAUUUUCUGUUGACUACAUUUGUACUACAGUUGUAUGUGGGUAACAAACUGUGGAAAGUGAAACUUCGGGUAAGGGGGAGGCUACCGUAGAUAGCCCAGUAUUUCUUAUUUUGUGGAUUUGUUUAUCUUUCUGCUCACAUCCUUUUCCUUCUGCAUUACCAUUUUAGUAAAAAUAGAUAGCAUCCA